UAUGCACUAUUCUCUUCAGUACGAAAGGACCAAGAAAAUAAGACCCAUGCUCUUAGUAAGUCCUCAACAUCAAUUGAAAUAAUAUUAAAAUUACAGUAUCAAUUUACCCUAAAACAGGGGC
rnacentral:rRNA from 1 species